rnacentral:rRNA from 1 species
GUGAACGCUGGCGGUAGGCCUAACCCAUGCAAGUCGAACGGCAGCACAGUAAGAGCUUGCUCUUACGGGUGGCGAGUGGCGGACGGGUGAGGAAUACAUCGGAAUCUACUUUUUCGUGGGGGAUAACGUAGGGAAACUUACGCUAAUACCGCAUACGACCUACGGGUGAAGGCAGGGGAUCUUCGGACCUUGCGCGAUUGAAUGAGCCGAUGUCGGAUUAGCUAGUUGGCGGGGUAAAGGCCCACCAAGGCGACGAUCCGUAGCUGGUCUGAGAGGAUGAUCAGCCACACUGGAACUGAGACACGGUCCAGACUCCUACGGGAGGCAGCAGUGGGGAAUAUUGGACAAAGGGCGCAAGCCUGAUCCAGCCAUACCGCGUGGGUGAAGAAGGCCUUCGGGUUGUAAAGCCCUUUUGUUGGGAAAGAAAAGCAGCAGGUUAAUACCCCGCUGUUCUGACGGUACCCAAAGAAUAAGCACCGGCUAACUUCGUG